GCUGAGAAGGCAGCGUUCAGCAGGAGCUGAGCCUGUAGUGGGCGCGGACGGGAGUGUGUGGCAGGCCAGGGCUCCGCGUGGCGGAGUGUGAGUCUGUGAGCACAGUGUGUCAGGGUGAGAUGAGAGUGUGGGGGGUCGGGAGGUGUGAGGAGGUGCGUAGAGGGAGACGGGGGUGUGGUCACAGAUCAUGAGUGUGUGUGUGUGUGUGUGUGUGUGUGUACACCUGAGCAGGCUUGAGUGUGUGUGUGUGUGUGUGUGUGUGUGUGUGUGUGUGCCUGAGCAGGCUUGGGACACCACCAAUCCCACAGCCCUGGACGAUGCACCAAGUUCACAGUGGGGCCUGGGGACGGGGCUGUGAGUGAGCAAGCCUGCCCUCUACAGGCGGAGGGCCGUAAAGGAGCCUUGAAAAUGAUUUCAGCCCCUUCACCGUGGUAGGCCUGCAGGGCACCGAGCCCCGGCUGGAGGCUCAUACUCCCGAAACAGAAGAGUCGGGCCGUGGUCUGGAGAUAAUGGAUGGAGCAGCGUGGUAGAAAGAGGAGGGGCCACGAAAUGGAGGAUGACGUAAAACUUCGGGAGGUUUCUCUUCCCAAAUCCUCCACCCUGGAUGGCGAGGAGCGUCACGAAGCCCCCGGCCGCAACGCAGCUGAGCCGGUGCAGCAGAACGACUCUCCUUUGCAGGAAAGAAUGGCAUUUAUUUUCUCCUCCGAAGACCUCCUUGCACAGCAGGCACGGUUUAUGGCAGGUCUCCCCCGCCUGCCCCGGCAGGUCGUAAAGACGGAUUAAAUAAUGGGGGAGGUGACUCUUAAUGACCCACGCAGCGGCCACCCCGUGCGUCCUCUCUUCUGCCCGUGGUGGGUAUCUUUACGGAUGUAGAGUGUUACUUAAGAGAUGCUCUUUAUAGGAUUGUGGGUCAUGGUCAAAACCCAAGCAAUGGGGUUGAGACCAUUUCAAUCACGGCCUCGGACACAUGCUUUGACAUGCACCAGGCUCCUCGGAGGAGAGAUUUCGCUGUACGGUUCGUCUCUUGCCCUCUGGGGUGGGGGCAGUUUGGGAGGAUCUGCUGGAACAGAGAAGUGGGAUAGUGUGCUGGCCCCCUGUCCACACAGGGAGACGGGUCAGUGCAAAGCACCCCAGUGAGACCCCACUUCCAGUUGGAUCCGUCAAUGGCUCUCUCCCUCCUUCUCUCCAUGGAAAAUUCCACUGGACCAGCUUCAUUUCUUUAUCAAGAUUCACCGUUCCGCUGACAAAGCCUCUUCACCCACUUCUCUCCAGCGUCCAGCCCCUGCGCUCCCCUGCCCUCCCCUUGCUGGCCCCUGGCAUCUGCAUGGCAGUCCCUAAGUCUCAGUCUCCUUGUGUAGACUGUCCCUUAAUUAAACCUCCUGGGAAGCCCCAACGGUGAAGGUGUCACCUCUUUUAUCUGUCGGAUCCUGACGGAUUGCAAAUGCCAGAUGAGGCUUUGGAGCUGGUACCCAGCACUGUCCCAGGAUUCCAAGCAAGUCAUUUGGCUCCUGGUCUCUCCUGCGACCUCAAGUGCAGAAUGGCAAUCCAACAGUUCCCAGGAAGGGACACGUCAAGCUGAGCCCAGGAAGUACCCAUGUCCCCCUCUUUUCCGCUUUGCCCACUCUGGUGGGAGGCACUGGAUGACCUAAAUGCUCUUGUCUACUGCAUGGGUCAGAAACAAGGAACAAAACCAAGUGAUGAAUUUCCCCGGGCCGCAGACAGCAGCCUUUCUGUGCUUGUCGAUAAAAUGUUUAAAAUAGGACUUGAUUGGCUUUUGCUUUAAAGAAGCUUAUUAACUUGCUCGGAUCCACGGGAGGAAGGAGGCAGGUGUUGCUCCCAUUCCCCACCAGCUUCUUAAUCAGCAUCCAACGCUCGGCAAGCCACUGCGGUGGGCACCGAAAUGGCUCAGGGAGCUGUUUGGGUGACUGGAGGGUGACAAGGCUCCUCGGAGGUGACAUUGAUAAAUGGGAGGCCUCGGCUGCAGCCCCGGCUCUUCCUCGGUUCCUCUGCUGGUUUUAAUUGUGGCUGGCCCCUCAUCUCCCUCCAGCAUGCCAGGUCUCAGCCUGCAAACGGCAGUGAGGCCCAGGAAGACAGACCACGCGGUGCAGCAGGCAGAUCCAGGAGCUGCCCUCCGCCCCCAGAGCCAGCAAAAUGAAAGCGCAUUCUGCAGGGCCAAGCCCGGAAUUCCACCGCUGGAGACGGAUUCACUGACUUAUCUCAUUUUCAAUUUAUUUUUUUCAAAAAAAAAAUAUUCCAAGAUCUUCCCUUGACCCUGAAAUUGAUAACAAAACAGGAUACAAUGACCAGUCAGUCCCCAUCAGAGUAAGCAGAGCUGGGGCUGACUGCAAAGACGGACUCAAGAGACCAGGGGUCGGCCCUAAAUCCUCCCCAACACUUCCCUCAGCCCAGCCCCAGCCCCAGCCCUCAGCCUUCAACAAGGACCAUCUGCGUAACCAGCUCCUUGGACACUUUUCCCGGGAGGUGUCCUCUGCCCUGAGCAGUUCCAAGUUGAGGACGUACUUGAUGUGAUAAGAGGGCAAUCACUGUUUAUUCAUGUAUUCAUUUUUUCCUUUUUUAAUUUGUUCUUUUUAGAUGACAGUAGAGUACAUGUUGACAUACAUACGCAGAGUGUGUCAAAUUCUAAUUUGGACACCAGCUUUGUGGUCACGCACAUGAUGGGAGAUACACUGUGGUUUAUUCAUGUAUGAACAUAGGGAAGUUAUGUCCAGUUCACCGCACUGUCUUUCCUAUUGUAUCUC